GAGACGUCACACUUCCGGUCCGGCUUCUCCAGUGCAUGGAUCUCAUCAGCUAGCUAGCUAGCUGGUCUCCUGUCACAUCCGGGGUUAAAUGCUCUUCACGAAUAACGGCAAAUAAAAAUAUCCACUAUGGCUUCUCGAGCAGGUCCGAGAGCAGCGGGUACGGACGGCAGUGACUUCCAGCACCGGGAGAGGGUCGCCUCGCACUACCAGAUGAGCGUUGCUCUGAAGUCUGAAAUCCGCAAACUCAACAUUGUCCACGUGCUGAUCUGGGUGCUGAUGGCAGCUCAGGUGACGGUGAGCCAGCUGAGCCUGGUGUCGCACAAGGUCGUGGCCUCUCCGUACCAGUGGGAGUACCCUUACCUCCUGAGCAUCGUUCCCACCGUCUUCAGCUUUUUGGCAUUGCCCCGCAACAACAUCAGCUACUUGGUCAUCUCCAUGAUCAGCUCCGGGCUCUUCUGCGUGGCCCCGCUGAUCUACGGCAGCAUGGAGAUGUUUCCCGUGGCACAGCAGCUGUAUCGGCACGGCAAAGCGUACCGCUUCAUCUUCGGCUUCUCUGCCGUGACGGUCAUGUACCUGGCGAUCGUCAUCGCCGUGCAGGUGCACGGCUGGCAGAUCUACUACAGCAAGAAGCUGCUGGACCAGUGGUUCGCCAGCACGCAGGACAAGAAGAAGAAAUGAGUCGACGUCAACGGCGGGAUCUCACCGCGCCGGCCAAGACGAAAGACGCUCGGAACUUCCUAGGUUUCUCAGCCUAUCGUGCGUAGUAAAAACAAACCUCGGAGGGUAACGCACGUACGAAGAAGGGAGUUGGGAGUUAAAACUGUGUUCCUGGUUUGAAAUAAAGGUGCAAACUUGAGAUGAGACGAGACAAACCUUUAAUACGGUACAUUGAUAAUUUGAGA